GCCAGACUCCUACGGGAGGCAGCAGUGGGGAAUAUUGGACAAUGGGGGGAACCCUGAUCCAGCGACGCCGCGUGAGUGAAGAAGUAUUUCGGUAUGUAAAGCUCUAUCAGCAGGGAAGAAAGAAAUGACGGUACCUGACUAAGAAGCCCCGGCUAACUACGUGCCAGCAGCCGCGGUAAUACGUAGGGGGCAAGCGUUAUCCGGAUUUACUGGGUGUAAAGGGAGCGUAGACGGCAUGGCAAGUCAGAUGUGAAAGCCCGGGGCUCAACCCCGGGACUGCAUUUGAAACUGUCAGGCUGGAGUGCAGGAGAGGUAAGUGGAAUUCCUAGUGUAGCGGUGAAAUGCGUAGAUAUUAGGAGGAACACCAGUGGCGAAGGCGGCUUACUGGACUGUAGCUGACGUUGAGGCUCGAAAGCGUGGGGAGCAAACAGGAUUAGAUACCCGUGUAU
rnacentral:rRNA from 1 species